GAAUACAAUAAACUUUUUCCAAUUAGGUGGAGAUGUGUGUGGAAAAUUAAGAAUUUUGAGAAGGUUGAUAACGUGGCUUCCAUUGAGAGAUUAGCUCUCAUUUUUGUUAGUCCUUGAAGACCAUUUCCUUCCUACAUAUAUGUAACUUUGAAAAUAAAAAAAAAAGAAAAUUAUUUUAUUCCUUAAGUAUUUGACACAUGUGCUAUUAAGUGGGAUCAUGAACGGUAUAGUUAGAAGAGUUGUUAUGUUAUUUAAAAUUUGAAUCAUACUAGUAGGAUAUACGGCUAUUAUGUGAUAGCUUUAGGUGGUUACUUUCUAAGCCUAUAUAUAGAACUUUAGGUAUUCAUUCUUCACUCAUCAAUUAAGCUAUCACAUAUAAAAGAUUACUAUCUCUUUCUCGUCUCUUGUUACUAAUCCCUAUUUUGUCUUUUAUGCCAUAAUAUUCAUUGCUUAUUACCUCCCGCCACCAUCAAUACCAUCGUCCUUUAUCAUUUUCUCUAUAAUCUUUUUUUUACAAUUUCUUUUUCUAUUAUUUUACCAUCAUCCCAACACUAAUCCCAACCAAUUAUUUCAUCUCCAUCAUUCUUGUCAUACUCACAUAUCACCAUCACCAACCUCUUACUUAUUCAUAUAUAGAUACUCUACUAUUAUUUACUUAUAUAUAUCAACAUCAUCACCGCCAUUAUUUUCCUGCCAGAUUUCCUUUCUAAUCUAAGGUUUUUCAUAAGAUAAUUAUUGUUUCUCAAAAGGAUCACUUUCAUUGCAAUCAAGGCUAGGACUCCACAUUCGAGAUCAAGGUAACUGAAAUUAAGUCUAGAAUGCCGGUGGCGAGUGGAACUUUGGACGCUUGUGUGUGUGAACUCGCUGAGGGCCAUAUAACUGCGGGCGGUCUAGGACGCUCUGUUUAUUUAUUUACGCUAUCAUGUUUAUGUCGCAAUUAUUUUAAUUAUUAUUUAUUAUGUCUUUUGUACGAAAACUGGCCAGUUGUGAACAUUUUUAAGUAUUAAAUAAAAAUGCGACAUUAUGAUUUUCCGCGUUUAACGCUUAUAAAUAAAAUUAAUAUUUUUAUAAAAGUACGGGCAUUACAUAAUCUUAAGAUGACAGUAGAUUAAAGUAAAACCUAAUUUAGCAGUCGUCUAAACAAGAUUAAAACAAUAAUCAUAGCAUUGAACAUAGAAGAAUAGAAGCAAUUUGAUAUAAUGGAAACUAAA